rnacentral:rRNA from 1 species
AGUGAACGCUGGCGGCAGGCCUAACACAUGCAAGUCGAAUGGUAACAGGAAACAGCUUGCUGUUUCGCUGACGAGUGGCGGACGGGUGAGGAAUGUAUGGGAAACUGCCUGAUGGAGGGGGAUAACUACUGGAAACGGUAGCUAAUACCGCAUAACGUCGCAAGACCAAAGAAGGGGACCUUCGGGCCUCUUGCCAUCAGAUGUGCCCAGAUGGGAUUAGCUAGUAGGUGGGGUAACGGCUCACCUAGGCGACGAUCCCUAGCUGGUCUGAGAGGAUGACCAGCCACACUGGAACUGAGACACGGUCCAGACUCCUACGGGAGGCAGCAGUGGGGAAUAUUGCACAAUGGGCGCAAGCCUGAUGCAGCCAUGCCGCGUGUAUGAAGAAGGCCUUCGGGUUGUAAAGUACUUUCAGCGGGGAGGAAGGGAGUAAAGUUAAUACCUUUGCUCAUUGACGUUACCCGCAGAAGAAGCACCGGCUAACUCCGUG